UGUAGGGCCAAUCAGCGGCGGUGUUGCUUUUGCGGCUCCACGUCGGCACCAGCUGCGGGGCAAGAUGGAGGCGCUGAUUUUGGAACCCUCCCUGUAUACUGUCAAAGCCAUCCUGAUUCUGGACAAUGAUGGAGAUCGACUUUUUGCCAAGUACUAUGACGACACCUACCCCAGUGUCAAGGAGCAAAAGGCCUUUGAGAAGAACAUUUUCAACAAGACCCAUCGGACUGACAGUGAAAUCGCCCUCUUGGAAGGCCUGACAGUGGUAUACAAAAGCAGUAUCGAUCUCUAUUUCUAUGUGAUUGGCAGCUCCUAUGAAAAUGAGCUGAUGCUCAUGGCUGUUCUGAAUUGCCUCUUUGACUCAUUGAGCCAGAUGCUGAGGAAAAAUGUAGAAAAACGAGCUCUGCUGGAGAACAUGGAGGGUCUCUUCUUGGCUGUGGAUGAAAUCGUAGAUGGAGGGGUGAUCCUAGAGAGUGAUCCCCAGCAAGUGGUACACCGGGUAGCACUAAGGGGUGAAGAUGUUCCGCUUACGGAGCAGACUGUGUCUCAGGUAUACCUCUUCUCUCUUCAUCCCCCCAGUGGAUUUGAAUUUUUUUGGAAUUUCCCAAACUGACAACCCUCUAGGGCCUUAGAGAGCUUCUUCCCAUCCCUCUACCCUUGGGGAUUUUCUAUUUGCCAUUCUUCUAAGGACAGGGAAGGUGCUGCAGUCAGCCAAAGAGCAGAUCAAGUGGUCACUCCUUCGGUGAAGACCUCACUGUUCCUGGCUCCUCACCCCCUCAGAAAAUCCACAUAUCUGCUGUGACUUCUCAUCCAGUCCCCCAACUGAUGCUCUCAGGGUCAUCUCGGGGAUCACAAGGGAUCCUUAAGUCUCCAUCCUCUCUGUGGUUGCUCCCCCAAACCCCCACUUAUGCUUCCUAUUCUUUCACACUUUUUUUUUUUUUUUUUUUUUUAACAGCCUGGGAGUAAAGCUCCCAUCAGAUUCAAACGCAGGGUAGUAGGGAAAGCACCCUCUUCCUUUCUACACCGAACUGUGUACUCAUGCUCUCCUACACCCCCCCCCCCCAUAUUUUCUUCUCAACUUCGGUGCCCUUUGCUGCAGCUACACUUGAGAUCAAAGCAGGGGAAAGAAUGUGCUGAGUGUUUUCCUCCCUUUGCCUUUACCAGGCCUUCAUCCCAACAGCCCAUAUGUUAGCAAGGGGAGGGAGGGAGAGAAUGUUUUUUCUAUAGAAUGAGUGGGGGUGGCAUAUUCCAGUCUCAGCCACAGCCCCACUCACUCACUGGCCUCAGCAUUUCCUCCCAUUCCUUCUUACUGCCCUGUCCUCCAGCCUUGGGAGAAAAGAUGGGGAACAGCUCGUGGGCAGGGGACAGAGUGGAAGAAGUAGGGAUUUAAAUGUUAUGGGCUAGGGCUUAUAAAAGUCUGUAUUUCAGUCACAGCUGCAUUCUUAACCCUGAUCCUGGCUUCUAGCUUCAGAACCGCUGUGGGUCUGUGAGUGUUCACUGUAGGACUGUCCAUCUCCUGGUCCCACUACCUGGACUCUGUCCACCUUCGCCACCCCUGGGAUCUUUGCCUGGCCUGUCUUCGCUGUGCCCUGGAGCAAAGCCGGUCCCUGAACUAAAACUCCCAUUUUCAUCCUGGGAAGAAGAGGUUUUGCUCAGAACUGGGGAGGGGGUGGGAUUUGUGACUUGGGCCUCUGGGCUCUGUCCCCUUCGCUCUCCCCACGUGCAUUUCACUCCUCUGCCCUGGGUCUGCAGUCUCUGUUGCUUAACCCCCUCUUCUCUCUGCCUCAGCCUUACAUCCAGGCAGUAGGUCUGCGCUCUCUCCCUCCCUGGGUCGCUGAGAGAGGUGCCUUUCUUCCGAAAACCUUUGGGAUUUGGAUUCCCCCAGGAAGAUGGGGGACGGAGCACCCCCUCUUGGGUCUAAUCUUUUCCCCUGACCCAAAACUUCCCACAAAAAUGUCUCAAAAAACACCUUCCUGAGGCUUCACUCUGCCCCACCCACUAACUGCCAGUUCUCCAAGACUGAAGUGGGAUGAAUAACCGGGCAUAUCUGAGGGGACGUUUUGGGGGUCAGAGACGUAUGGAGUCAGGAGAUAGCCACCCUCAUCUACUGCUGUGCGCAAAGAGGAAUAAAACAGAUUUUUUUCCAAA